rnacentral:tRNA from 2 species
GGCCCUGUAGCUCAGUUGGUUAGAGCGCCGCCCUGUCACGGCGGAGGUCGCCGGUUCGAGUCCGGUCAGGGUCG